rnacentral:ncRNA from 2 species
ACCACGAACCACGGGAGUCCGGUGUGCCGGGCUGAGAGGAAGCGAAUCCACGCUUCGACCGUCGAACCUGAUCUGGGUCAUGCCAGCGCAGGAAGGAGAACAAUGUCUGUU